rnacentral:rRNA from 1 species
UACGGGGGGGGCAAGCGUUGUUCGGAAUUACUGGGCGUAAAGGGCUCGUAGGCGGCCAACUAAGGUCAGACGUGAAAUCCCCAGGCUUAACCUGGGAACUGCGUCUGAUACUGGAUGGCUUGAAUUCGGGAGAGGGAUGCAGAAUUCCAGGUGUAGCGGUGAAAUGACGCAGAUAUCAGGAAGAACACCCGUGGCGAAAGCGGCUCUCUGGAACGGUACUGACGCUGAGACGCGAAAGCGUGGGGGAGCGAACAGG